UUUUUUUUUUUUUGUCUUUUUAGGGCUGCACCCGCAGUGCAUGGAGGCUCCCAGGUCAAAUCAGAGGUACUCCUGCCAGCCUACGCCACAGCCGCAGCCACACCAGAUCCAAGCUGCCUCUGCGACAUGCACCAUAGCUCAUGGCAACGCUGGAUCCUUGAGUCGCUGAGCAAGGUCAAAACCCGCAUCCUCAUGGAUACUCUUUGGGCUUGUUACUGCUGAGCCACGAUGGGAACUUCCCAGUCCUUUUCUGAAGGGACUAUUUUUUUUCCCUUGUCCAGUACUUUUUGAAAAUUUGUGGUGUGGUGCUUGAUAAAUUUGGGAGGUGGUCAGUGUCCCUUGUCUCAACAUAUGUCAUUAGUGUUGGGGUGAUUUGUCAUGACUUCAUUCUACUCUCUCUCCCUGGAAGGACGGGAUGGACAUCUUAGAGAUGUAAAAGUAAUUUAUGGGUUGAAUGGACUCUUCCUAAGCUCACAUGUCCCAAACUGCAUGUUAGCUCCCCCACCUCCACACUCUUCCUUUUCUCUUUGUGAGCUCACCUCGGGGCCAACCCUGUCUCAGUCUCCUAAGGCAGAAACCCUUGAGAAUCAUGUGUUCUUCAUAAAGGUACUAGUGUAUGGCCAGACUUUUGCUCAGAAUGAUAUUUUUGGAAAGUAGCUUCUUUGUGGAAACAUACAUUUUUGUUAAAAGGUAGGAGUGGUCUCUGUUUUCCCCUGAAAUACAGUAUUCAGAAAUGCAGUGAAAUAACCUCGUCCUUAGGGUCACCAUUGGAUGCACUGGUAAAUACUCCAUGUCUCUCUGUGUUAACUGAGCAUCCUACUUCGGCAGCUAUGGACAGGGGCCUCCAAAGAGUAGCGUUUAGUUUACUCGGGCCCCUGACACACAACCAGUCUAGUGACAUUCCCCUUCUAAGGCCUUGUCUUUUGCAUCAUGGUUGGGUUGGGAAACAGCUCAAAACACAGCUUCAGAGAGCCGCACAAUCCAGCCUUGGCUGCUUAGAUGAUUCUCAGUGUGGUGGGUGGCCCAGCAGCAUGAGUCUGUACAAAGCAGAGAACCCGAUUCAACACGGAUGCAGUCGUCGGAGUGUCUGGUGCACCACUGCAGUGGGGUGGGGUCACCUCAAACCAGAGUGGGCGAUUAGGUUUUGAUCUGCAGCUGGGAUAAAGGACGCAGGUUGUGCCCCCACAGAAAUGCGGAGAGUGUGCUGUCUGGGUGCAGGUAGGGGAGGGACUGGGAAGAGCUGCAGGAGAGGAACACCUACGGCUGUGUCCUGGGCCUCGGCUAUACACCUGCUUGUGAGGAGGGGCCCUGGGAAGAUGCUAAGGGACAGGCGUAACUCACCCGAGUCGUGGCGCAGCCCCACUUCCCGGCAGUGUCUGCACCUGGAAAGGCUGAAGCCAUGUGUGCAGAUGUGUCGUAAGAACCCAUGGGACGUUGGGGUUGGUAGAUACACAGACUAUGGCAUUGGGAAUGGAUAAGCAGUGGAGUCCUACUGUACAGCACAGGGAACUCUAUCCAGUCUCCUGGGAUAGAACAUGAUGGAAGAUAGUAUGAGAAAAAAAAAA
rnacentral:lncRNA from 1 species